rnacentral:rRNA from 1 species
UACGGAGGGUGCAAGCGUUAUCCGGAAUCAUUGGGUUUAAAGGGUCCGUAGGCGGAUAAUUAAGUCAGAGGUGAAAUCUCACAGCUCAACUGUGAAACUGCCUUUGAUACUGAUUAUCUUGAGUUUUAGUGAAGUAGAUAGAAUAUGUAGUGUAGCGGUGAAAUGCAUAGAUAUUACAUAGAAUACCGAUUGCGAAGGCA